AUUGAACGCUGGCGGAAUGCUUUACACAUGCAAGCCGAACGGCAGCACGGACUUCGGUCUGGUGGCGAGUGGCGAACGGGUGAGUAAUGUAUCGGAACGUGCCCAGUCGUGGGGGAUAACGUAGUGAAAAUUACGCUAAUACCGCAUACGAUCUAGGGAUGAAAGCGGGGGAUUGCAAGACCUCGCGCGAUUGGAGCGGCCGAUAUCAGAUGAGGUAGUUGGUGGGGUCAAGGCCCACCAAGCCAACGAUCUGUAGCUGGUCUGAGAGGACGACCAGCCAAACUGGAACUGAGACACGGUCCAGACUCCUACGGGAGGCAGCAGUGGGGAAUUUUGGACAAUGGGCGAAAGCCUGAUCCAGCCAUUCCGCGUGCAGGAUGAAGGCCCUCGGGUUGUAAACUGCUUUUGUACAGAACGAAAAGGUUUCUACUAAUACUAGGAGCUCAUGACGGUACUGUAAGAAUAAGCACCGGCUAACUACGUGCCAGCAGCCGCGGUAA
rnacentral:rRNA from 1 species